AGUAGGGCCACUCGUUCAAGAAGCUUGAGCCAACAACACAAAAAUUGCUAAGAGUGUGCUUUGCUCAAAUGAGCAGGGAGUGUGCUCGUUUGAGCAAAGCAUAUUAAACCUCAAGUUUGCGUGAAUCUCUUCGAUUCCAUGGGGCUGAAUGGUGUUAGCAUUGGAAAAUCUACACAAACAAGGGAUUGUUUACAGAGAUUUGAAACCAGACAAUAUGUUAAUUCAAGAAAAUGGGCACUUAAUGUUAGUAGAUUUUGAUCUAUCAACAAAACUCGUUCCAAAAUCGCCCAAAUCUCGGUCGAGUUUUGAAUCAAUUAAGAAGUCCGAGUCAGAAAGGAAGAUAACUCAGUUACCCAGAUUUUUAACCCUCUCUAAAUGCACUAAAUCAGUGAGUUCAACAGAAUACUCAAUGAAAUCCAGUAAAACAUGGGACGAUUCAGGAAACUCGUUCGAGUCAGACUCAGUGGGGAAAUCAAACUCAUUUGUUGGAACAGAAGAGUACGUGGCACCAGAGAUCAUCCAAGGCAACGGUCACGAUUUCGCCAGAAUACACCUUACUACAAAAUGAUGAGUAGCUUGAAGAACAAUUGUGUAAGGAGAGAAGAAAGAGGAGAGGGAAAAGGGAAGAAGAAAAAACUAACCAUGUCUGAUUUUUUACAAAAAUUAACGGCCACUUAACGGAAAAAACUUUAAAAGUGUUACAUUUGUAAUUAGCAAGAUAGUUUGGGGUUCCAUUGAAAUUACGAAAAACACGGGGUACCAAAGAUAAAGUGCAAUAACAC